rnacentral:rRNA from 1 species
AGUGAACGCUGGCGGUAGGCCUAACGCAUGCAAGUCGAACGGCGGCACAGUAAGAGCUUGCUCUUACGGGUGGCGAGUGGCGGACGGGUGAGGAAUACAUCGGAAUCUACUUUUUCGUGGGGGAUAACGUAGGGAAACUUACGCUAAUACCGCAUACGACCUACGGGUGAAAGCAGGGGAUCUUCGGACCUUGCGCGAUUGAAUGAGCCGAUGUCGGAUUAGCUAGUUGGCGGGGUAAAGGCCCACCAAGGCGACGAUCCGUAGCUGGUCUGAGAGGAUGAUCAGCCACACUGGAACUGAGACACGGUCCAGACUCCUACGGGAGGCAGCAGUGGGGAAUAUUGGACAGUGGCGCAAGCCUGAUCCAGCCAUACCGCGUGGGUGAAGAAGGCCUUCGGGUUGUAAAGCCCUUUUGUUGGGAAAGAAAAGCAGCAGGUUAAUACCCCGCUGUUCUGACGGUACCCAAAGAAUAAGCACCGGCUAACUUCGUG